rnacentral:rRNA from 1 species
UACAGAGGUCUCGAGCGUUGUUCGGAUUUAUUGGGCGUAAAGGGCGCGUAGGCGGCGCGGUAAGUCACUUGUGAAAUCUCUGAGCUUAACUCAGAACGGCCAAGUGAUACUGCAGUGCUAGAGUGUGGAAGGGGCAAUCGGAAUUCUUGGUGUAGCGGUGAAAUGCGUAGAUAUCAAGAGGAACACCUGAGGUGAAGACGGGUUGCUGGGCCAACACUGACGCUGAUGCGCGAAAGCCAGGGGAGCAAACGGG